CAGGCACUUUGCAUCUCCCACACCCUCCCAAGCCUGAAGGUGAGGACUGUUAUUAUUUAAUCCAUGUACAUUUCUGUAAAGGAACAAUCCUGGAGAGAAAGAUAGGUUAUGAACUUGUCCGAUGCUGGGAAAAGAUACUGUAUAAAAGAAAUAGCUUAGUGUCUGAAAUUUGCUUUGUGUUCAUUCUAGGACUGUAACCUGGAACAAGGAGAGACAGAGGGAAGGAGGAGUCUGGAGCCAUGUUGGGGAUAAAAUUGAGAUCCUGGAAGAUAUCAAUUCUGAGGGCUGGUGUGUAUCUUGAUCACCUUUGGAAUCUACCACUCCACGGAGUACAGCAUUUACCACCUAGUAGGUAAGCAAUAAAUGCUUGCUUGUCCAUUGAUUUAUUCAGUAGACUCAGUGCUGUGUGCACAUUAAACACCUGGGGAGCUUUAAACAAGAAACAAGCAAACCAACAAAUGCUGCAUUGGCUUAGACCAACCAAAUCCUGAUUUCUGGGUGUGGGAUCCCAGCAUUGAUAGGUUUGUAAAGUACCAUAGGUGAUUUUAGUGCAAGGUGAAGGUUGAGAACUACUGGAUUCAUUAACCUGUUGCUUUACUUGGCUAAGUUCUGUUUGCUUCCAAGUUUGGAAGAAACCUAUUUGGAUCCUUUUGAGGAAUUCUAAUCCCUGACAAAAUGCUAGUGCUAUUUUAUAGCAAAAGUAGACUAGGAUGGCUAUACUAUGUGGUCCUGGGCAAGUUAUUUAAAGUCUCUGUGCCUCAGUUUUCUCAACUGUAAGAUGGGAAGAAUAAUAGUGACUACCUCUGGAGUCUGCUGUAAAAGUUAAAUGAUCUGAUCUAUUAAAGCUC
rnacentral:lncRNA from 1 species